rnacentral:lncRNA from 1 species
GGAGGGACAAUAAAAUUAUACUUUAAAGUACAUGCAUGGUUUAUUUGUUUCAUAUACUUGGCAACUAAUUAAGAUUUUUAUUUAAUUCUAAUUCAGACUUAAUUAAAGUACAGCAAGCAGUCAUUUGACACUAAACAAUUGAGACAGACUUCACGACACCCUCAUGGGUGGUUAAGAUCUUUUUACACACCCUGGACAUGCUGGCAGAAGGUAACAAUUGCAAUGCCAACAUAAACUUCAGAUGUGAUAUACAUGUACUGUUUUGUAAAUUUCACUGAAACUAGAAAUUCACAUUAUCCAUAUUGUUAUUAUAU